rnacentral:rRNA from 1 species
CCUACGGGAGGUAGCAGUGAGGAAUAUUGGUCAAUGGGCGGAAGCCUGAACCAGCCAAGUCGCGUGAGGGAUUAAGGCCCUGCGGGUCGUAAACCUCUUUUGCCGGGGAGCAGAGGUCCGGACUUGUCCGGGCCGGGAGAGUACCCGGAGAAAAAGCAUCGGCUAACUCCGUGCCAGCAGCCGCGCUAAUACGGAGGAUGCGAGCGUUAUCCGGAGUUAUUGGGUUUAAAGGGUGCGUAGGCGGGCAUUUGAGCCGGCGGUCAAAUGUCGGGGCUCAACCCCGGCCUGCCGUCGGAACUGGGUGCCUUGAGUGGGCGAGAAGUAUGCGGAAUGCGUGGUGUAGCGGUGAAAUGCAUAGAGAUCACGCAGAACCCCGAUUGCGAAGGCAGCAUACCGGCGCCCUACUGACGCUGAGGCACGAAAGUGCGGGUAUCGAACAGGAUUAGAUACCCGAGUGGUC